GAGUUUGAUCCUGGCUCAGGACGAACGCUGGCGGCGUGCCUAAUACAUGCAAGUCGAACGCACUGACAGAGAAACUUGUUUCUCUCGACGUGAGUGGCGCACGGGUGAGUAACACGUGGGAAACCUACCCUUCAGCGGGGGAUAACCGUCGGAAACGAUGGCUAAUACCGCAUAGGUCUUUUAACCGCCUGGUUGAAAGAGGAAAGACGGCUUCGGCUGUCACUGAAGGAUGGUCCCGCGGUGCAUUAGCUUAGUUGGUAAGGUAACGGCUUACCAAGGCGAUGAUGCAUAGCCGACCUGAGAGGGU
rnacentral:rRNA from 1 species